CUAGAGCUUAUACAUUUUUUUCAACAAUGAUAUUUCAUGGAACCUGCACUUUGUUUUUUUAUGAGAGAAAUUUUUAAUCUAUUCGUCAAUCAUGGCAGUAGAGAGAACACUAGAGGUAAUAAAACAACCUGAUCCAUGAAUCACCUAGCGACGACUACAAGCACUAGAGCGAGCCAAAGACGCGCCGCUGUCAUUGCCUCUCCCUCAAAGGAGUCGGGCAAAAUUGUUGUAGUAGAUAAUCGGGAAGCCGUCGUGCUAAGCCCCCAAAAGACCAGUGCACUAGUGCAACACUUAUAAUUUUUUAUGUAGCCGUCUGAUUAGCUAGUUGGUGAGGUAAUAGCUUACCAAGGCGAUGAUCAGUAGCUGGUCCGAGAGGAUGAUCAGCCACACUGGGACUGAGACACGGCCCAGACUCCUACGGGAGGCAGCAGCGGGGAAUUUUCCGCAAUGGGCGAAAGCCUGACGGAGCAAUG
rnacentral:rRNA from 1 species